rnacentral:rRNA from 1 species
AUACGGAGGGGGCUAGCGUUGUUCGGAAUUACUGGGCGUAAAGCGCACGUAGGCGGAUUAAAAAGUUAGAGGUGAAAUCCCAGGGCUUAACCCUGGAACUGCCUUUAAAACUAGUAGUCUAGAGUUCGAGAGAGGUGAGUGGAAUUCCAAGUGUAGAGGUGAAAUUCGUAGAUAUUAGGAGGAACACCAGUGGCGAAGGCGGCUCACUGGCUCGAUACUGACGCUGAGGUGCGAAAGCGUGGGGAGCAAACAGGAUUAGAUACCCUAGUAGUCC